rnacentral:rRNA from 1 species
GCAAGUCGAACGGUAAGGCGUCCUUCGGGAGUACACGAGUGGCGCACGGGUGCGUUACGCGUAUGCAACCUACCUUUCAGCGGGGGAUAUCCUGGGGAAACUCAGAGCAAUACCCCAUAUGCACACACUGUAGCAUUACAGAGUGUGGAAAACUCCGGUGCUGAGAGAUGGGCAUGCGUGACAUUAGCUAGUUGGUGGGGUAGCGGCUCACCAAGGCUACGAUGUCUAGCUGGUCUGAGAGGAUGAUCAGCCACACUGGAACUGAGACACGGUCCAGACUCCUACGGGAGGCAGCAGUAGGGAAUAUUGGACAAUGGGCGAAAGCCUGAUCCAGCCAUGCCGCGUGGAGGAAGACGGCCCUCUGGGUUGUAAACUCCUUUUAGCAGGGGAUAAACCUGUGCUAUAUGCACAGCUGAAGGUACCUGCAGAAUAAGCACCGGCUAACUCCGUG